GGCCAUUGCUAUCGGAGUCCGAUUUAGCCAUGCUAGUCGAGCGAGGUUAGCCCUCGCGGCGAACAGCUCAGUAACACGUGGCCAAGCUACCCUGCAGAGGGGGACAGCGUCGGGAAACUGACGGGAAUCCCCCAUACCGGUCUCACGCUGGAAUGCCGAGACCGACAAACGCUCCGGCGCUGCAGGAUGCGGCUGCGGCCGAUUAGGUAGUCGGUGGGGUAACGGCCCACCGAGCCGAUAAUUGGUACGGGGUGUGAGAGCACGAGCCCGGAGACGGAAUCUGAGACAAGAUUCCGGGCCCUACGGGGCGCAGCAGGCGCGAAACCUUUACACUGCACGAAGGUGCGAUAAGGGGACUCCGAGUGCGAGGGCAUACAGUCCUCGCUAUUGUGUACCGUAGGGUGGUACACGACCAAGAGCUGGGCAAGACCGGUGCCAGCCGCCGCGGUAAUACCGGCAGCUCGAGUGAUGGCCGAUUUUAUUGGGCCUAAAGCGUCCGUAGCUGGCCCUGCAAGUCCGUCGGGAAAUCCACUCGCCUAACGAGUGGGCGUCCGGCGGAAACUACAGGGCUUGGGACCGGAAGACUUGAGGGGUACGUCUGGGGUAGGAGUGAAAUCCUGUAAUCCUGGACGGACCGCCGAUGGCGAAAGCACCUCAAGACGACGGAUCCGACAGUGAGGGACGAAAGCUAGGGUCUCGAACCGGAUUAGAUACCCGGGUAGUCCUAGCCGUAAACGAUGUUCGCUAGAUGUGGCACAGGCUACGUGCCUGUGCUGUGUCGUAGGGAAGCCGAGAAGCGAACCGCCUGGGAAGUACGUCCGCAAGGAUGAAACUUAA
rnacentral:rRNA from 1 species